rnacentral:rRNA from 1 species
ACGGAAGGCAGCAGUGGGGAAUAUUGCACAAUGGGCGAAAGCCUGAUGCAGCGACGCCGCGUGAGUGAAGAAGUAUCUCGGUAUGUAAAGCUCUAUCAGCAGGGAAGAAAAUGACGGUACCUGACUAAGAAGCCCCGGCUAACUACGUGCCAGCAGCCGCGGUAAUACGUAGGGGGCAAGCGUUAUCCGGAUUUACUGGGUGUAAAGGGAGCGUAGACGGAAUAGCAAGUUUGAAGUGAAAUACCUGUGCUUAACGCAGGAAUUGCUUUGAAAACUGUUAAUCUAGAGUACUGGAGGGGUAUGGGGAAUUUCUAGUGUAGUAGUGAAAUGCGUAGAUAUUAGGAAGAACACCGGAGGCGAAGGCGCCAUACUGGACAGAUACUGACGUUGAGGCUCGAAAGCGUGGGGAGCAAACAGGAUUAGAUACCCUGGUA